rnacentral:rRNA from 1 species
UACGUAGGGUGCAAGCGUUGUCCGGAAUUAUUGGGCGUAAAGAGCUCGUAGGCGGUUUGUUGCGUCGGCUGUGAAAUCCCGAGGCUCAACCUCGGGUCUGCAGUCGAUACGAGCAAACUAGAGUGUUGCAGGGGAGACUGGAAUUCCUGGUGUAGCGGUGAAAUGCGCAGAUAUCAGGAGGAACACCGGUGGCGAAGGCGGUUCUCUGGGCAUUACCUGACGCUGGGGAGCGAAAGUGUGGGGAGCGAACGAGG